rnacentral:rRNA from 1 species
CCUACGGGCGGCAGCAGUGAGGAAUAUUGGUCAAUGGGCGCUAGCCUGAACCAGCCAAGUAGCGUGAAGGAUGACUGCCCUAUGGGUUGUAAACUUCUUUUAUAUGGGAAUAAAGUGCAGCAUGUAUACCUUUUUGCAUGUACCUUAUGAAUAAGGAUCGGCUAACUCCGUGCCAGCAGCCGCGGUAAUACGGAGGAUCCGAGCGUUAUCCGGAUUUAUUGGGUUUAAAGGGAGCGUAGGCGGGUUGUUAAGUCAGUUGUGAAAGUUUGCGGCUCAACCGUAAAAUUGCAGUUGAUACUGGCAGCCUUGAGUACAGUAGAGGUAGGCGGAAUUCGUGGUGUAGCGGUGAAAUGCUUAGAUAUCACGAAGAACUCCGAUUGCGAAGGCAGCCUACUGGACUGUAACUGACGUUGAUGCUCGAAAGUGUGGGUAUCAAACAGGAUUAGAUACCCUAGUAGUC